rnacentral:rRNA from 1 species
GCGCAAGCCUGAUGCAGCGACGCCGCGUGAGGGAUGACGGCCUUCGGGUUGUAAACCUCUGUUAGCAUCGAAGAAGCGAAAGUGACGGUAGGUGCAGAGAAAGCGCCGGCUAACUACGUGCCAGCAGCCGCGGUAAUACGUAGGGCGCGAGCGUUGUCCGGAAUUAUUGGGCGUAAAGAGCUUGUAGGCGGUUGGUCGCGUCUGCUGUGAAAGGCUGGGGCUUAACCCUGGUUUUGCAGUGGGUACGGGCUAACUAGAGUGCAGUAGGGGAGACUGGAAUUCCUGGUGUAGCGGUGGAAUGCGCAGAUAUCAGGAGGAACACCGAUGGCGAAGGCAGGUCUCUGGGCUGUAACUGACGCUGAGAAGCGAAAGCAUGGGGAGCGAACAGGAUUAGAUACCCUGGUAGUCCAUGCCGUAAACGUUGGGCACUAGGUGUGGGGGGACAUUCCACGUUUUCCGCGCCGUAGCUAACGCAUUAAGUGCCCGCCUGGGGAGUACGGCCGCAAGGCUAAAACUCAAAGAAAUUGACGGGGGCCCGCACAAGCGGCGGAGCAUGCGGAUUAAUUCGAUGCAACGCGAAGAACCU